ACUUUAAGCGAGGAGGAGGCUACUUGGAUUAAUACUCUAGGAUAGUGGACGUUACUCGCAGAAUAAGCACCGGCUAACUCUGUGCCAGCAGCCGCGGUAAUACAGAGGGUGCGAGCGUUAAUCGGAUUUACUGGGCGUAAAGCGUGCGUAGGCGGCUUCUUAAGUCGGAUGUGAAAUCCCUGAGCUUAACUUAGGAAUUGCAUUCGAUACUGGGAAGCUAGAGUAUGGGAGAGGAUGGUAGAAUUCCAGGUGUAGCGGUGAAAUGCGUAGAGAUCUGGAGGAAUACCGAUGGCGAAGGCAGCCAUCUGGCCUAAUACUGACGCUGAGGUACGAAAGCAUGGGGAGCAAACAGGAUUAGAUACCCUGGUAGUCCAUGCCGUAAACGAUGUCUACUAGCCGUUGGGGCCUUUGAGGCUUUAGUGGCGC
rnacentral:rRNA from 1 species